UACGGAGGAUGCAAGCGUUAUCCGGAAUGAUUGGGCGUAAAGCGUCCGCAGGUGGCGAUGUAAGUCUGCUGUUAAAGAGUGAGGCUCAACCUCAUAAGAGCAGUGGAAACUACAUAGCUAGAGUACGUUCGGGGCAGAGGGAAUUCCUGGUGUAGCGGUGAAAUGCGUAGAGAUCAGGAAGAACACCGGUGGCGAAGGCGCUCUGCUAGGCCGCAACUGACACUGAGGGACGAAAGCUAGGGGAGCGAAUGGG
rnacentral:rRNA from 1 species